UAAAUUGGUUAGUCUCUAAGGUGCCACAAGUAUUCCUUUUCUUUUUGCGAAUACAGACUAACACGGCUGUUACUCUGAUACCUUAAAGAACUAAAUGUAGGAGUAAGUGAUUUAAAGAAGUGAGUGAAAAGUUACAAAGAGCUUUUGUAAAAAUUGACGAUACAGGGUUUGGAGGAAAGUAAACAUUUGGGAGUUGUGGAAAUGGUAAAAGAUAACAGUUGUGGUGUUACAAGAAGGAAGUUUUUGUUUAAUGAUCAAACGCAGUUAUAUAAAUGUAACUCUAUGUGCAACUCUGUGCAGUCGCAUUGGAUGGAAGCUUGGUAAUUAAAUUAUCCAAGGGGGUCAGGUAGAGUGGCUACUACCACCACUAGGCUUCUGUCCCCAGAAGCCUUUACAGCUAUUCUGAGGGAAAAUGGGCCCUUUUCCCACAGAAAUGGUCUAAAAGGGACUGCUGCAGGCAGCAGGCGGGGAGAGAAUCUGAUCAAAAUUAUUUGACUAUUGGGUAAUGUAAUCAAAAUCACUAAAGGAUGGAAGGGGUUUCUAUUGGAACUUAACUUGGCUGCCCCUGGUUGUGCCUAACUGUACAAGAUGGAAGUGUAAUCAAGAUCUCUGUGUUUUGGAGUAGGGGAUGAAAGUGGAAAGUAAUCAGAACUCUAGUGGAAGUGGAAUGUUUCCCUUUUAAGACGGUCUCUGAGCUGCUAAUAGCUUUGGAUCCAAAAGCAAGCUAGUAAGCCACUGUGUAAAUGCAAAUUACCUAGCUGAUGGGCACAAAGGAGCUGCAAAUAAUGAAUACAUCUGGUCAGCAAACAAGCUACCAGAAGACUUAGAUUAUGGCCCUCCAGGAAAGGGAGGUGAAAAAACAAGUCAAGCCUAAAAAUAAGGGGGACAGGUUAACCUUAAGGGGUGGGUGUGUGUUUGUACAGUGCUAAAAUCUGAAGCUGUCUCUCAGCUAUUACCUGAGAAUAAACUUAAAGCUUGGUACAGCAGAGAAACUAUUGCAAACUUGGUCUGUUAUACAAGAGGGGAAACUGAGGUACACCACCUCAUGAAUUUCAUAAAUGACCAGUGAGUGGGGUAAUUCACUAGCCUGACUAUAGAACAAAAUAAGGACAGCCUGGAGGUAAUUCUUCUGUUUUUCCUGCAAUUAGCAAGGAAAUUUGUAAAAGAAAGUGGUAUUAUUAUUAUUAUUAUUUAUUAUUAAGCAAUAAUCUGUCCCCACGGGGGGGGUGUGGAAAUUGUUUUUUGUUUUUCAGACACUCUACAAGCAAGCUGGUGCCAUCGGAAAAAUAACCGACAAUACCAUGGAUCUGUGUUUUGUGUUUUGUCUGUGGUGUUUGUCUUGUUGCUAGCAUUGUUCUGUUUUAAUGAACAGAAAAUCUCAUUAUGUGGGUGGGGGAUGGCUUCAAAAGGCUGACCUUGGGGGGGAGAUGUGUAUGGGAAUACAAAAUGCUCAGCUAGGAGGCCAGCACCCAUGUAAUAGCUACCGUGGUACCUGGAAAUGGAAUGGCAACUAAGGUGGUCCCCACAAGCCCUAUGGAAAUAAUGAGCAGGGGAGGAGCUCACUGGGAAUCAAUGGAGGGGUGUGUAAAAUAGUGUAAAUCAACAGAAGAUGUUUGGAUGUGCCCCUCUUCUAUGACUAUGGAGGAGCAGGAUCAAUGGCCUAUGCAAGGGGUGGACAAUUGGGUGUACUGUGUAUAAGGUGUUUUGCUGGGAAUGUACAUAUUACUGGGGGCACAAUUACACCAGCCCAUAACCAAACUACACCCAUCUACAUGCUGCUAUCUGGACUUUGAUGCACAAAUGGAUCUGUGAAUCUUAUUGCUGUGAAUAAUCAAACCAGGGCAUACUGCCUGAUUCCAUACCAAGUAGUUAAGCUGGUUUGGACAAUAACCCAUUUCUCUGUGAACAUUCAGUGGACUUAUGAUAUGGACUAAACCAUGCAAAACUUGCAGGAGCAGCUUGUUGCAACUGCUAGCAACUGGACACACAUGAUCUUGACCCUGUCAAAGAAGGAGGGGCAGUGUUUGGGGGGUGUCUUGGAUGUUGGACCAUACUGCAGUGGUCAGGACUCGGUGUUGCUGUGGAUUUUGUAUUGUUAACUGUACUUGUGUUACAUUGCAUAUGGAGAUAACCUAUAAGUAAUGUAAUAACCUCUCCAAACCCUACAGUGUACUAGACAACCCAGGCCCACUCUAAUGGGAAGUCUGGAACACUCAUUGGAAUAGGUGUGGUAUGCCCGUACGAGAGAAGGUGCAGGGCACUAUACUACACAAGGGGCAGUGGGACAAAUGGAAUAUCGACACCUUCCACCUUGAUGCCUGGCCCUAUCAGGAAAUGUCACCAUAUGUCUUAUGCUUUUCCAGGGAUACCUGGGCAGGAGGAUUCCAAAAGAAAAAAAAGGGGUGGAGUGUUAGGAUAUAGAUAUUCAGGCCUGUCUGUAAAUGCCUAUACUCUAAGAAUUUUGGUGUAUUCUUAUCACUUAGCUAGUUAUAGAGGUAUAAAAGAAAGAAAGAGAGAGAAUCAAAAUCACUGUCUGCCGGUGUAAGGGCCUUCUCUUACUGUGACAGUCUGAGGCCCUGUGCUUAGGCUAAGAUCUUUGGCUAAGCAGCAGAGGCAGCCAUAAACUGGGAAGCGAAUGGUCAGAUCCUCCCAUUCCAAACUAGUCGCAUUGAAAUAAGGUGCUAUUGGGCUGUUAGGAAUACAAUCCUGUUCUGAUAAUGCCUAUCGCCUCCAGAGAAAGGGAAGUGCCUAGAAGAUGUAAAAGGAAAUUUAAUUUGAUAGCAUCCUGUCUGGCAAGAACUCACUUAUCAAUAGCUAGGAUGUGAAAUCCUCAUUUCUUUUUUGUUCGAUCACUGUAGUCCCCAUUUCCCUAUUGUUUGUCUGUACAAUCUGUCUGGUUCUGUGAUUGUUUCUGUCUGCUGUAUAAUUAAUUUUGCUGGGUGUAAACUAAUUCAGGUGGUGGGAUAUAAUUGGUUAAAUCAUGUUACAAUAUGUUAGGAUUGGUUAGUUAAAUUUCAGUAAAAUGAUUGGUUAAGGUAUAGCUAAGCAGAACUCAAGUUUUACUAUAUAGUCUGCAGUCAAUCAGGAAGUGUGUGGGUGGGGAGGAAAUGGGAACAGGGAAUGGGGGUGGGGAAAUUGGAAUCAUGUUUAGCUAAGGGCAGGAAUGGGAACAGGGACACAGGUAAGGCUCUGUGGUGUCAGAGCUGGGAAGGGGGACACUAAGAAAGGAAACUGGAAUCAUGCUUGCUGGAAGUUCACCCCAAUAAACAUUGAAUUGUUUGCACCUUUGGA